UACGUAGGGUGCGAGCGUUGUCCGGAUUUAUUGGGCGUAAAGAGCUCGUAGGCGGUUUGUCGCGUCGGCCGUGAAAUCUCCACGCUUAACGUGGAGCGUGCGGUCGAUACGGGCAGACUUGAGUUCGGUAGGGGAGACUGGAAAUUCCUGGUGUAGCGGUGAAAUGCGCAGAUAUCAGGAGGAACACCGGUGGCGAAGGCGGGGUCUCUGGGCCGAUACUGACGCUGGAGGAGCGAAAGCCGUGGGGAGCGAACAGG
rnacentral:rRNA from 1 species